GUGACACAAACAUUCACGUCUCCGGACUUCAGGAUCUGCUGAGCCAGCCCGGUCAUAGAUAUGAUCUCACCGAAUCUUCCGCCCCUUGGAGGUAUGCUCCCUCGGCCACAGCUGCCGCUCAGAGAGCCACACUGGACUCCUGGCGGUUUCUCCAAUCAAUAAAGCAUGCUCCAGCCUCAGGGCCUUUGCAGCGGCUGUUUCCUCCACCAGAAAGACUCUUCUCCCAGCUGGAAUGACAGCAGAGACUUUUCUGUCCAUUUCUGCAUUCCCCGUGCCUGGCACAAAGGAGACCUUCGAAGACUUUCACGUAGCUGUCGGAUGAGCAAGACAGACAGACAGAUGUCCAUUCUCUGUGUGCUGCUCAUGACUGGAUGGCCGAAAGACCGCAUUUCGUCUAGGCUGGACCCCAGCCCAGGGCAAAGGUGGGAUGGGGGCUACAGAAGUGUAGCCCCCAGAUCACUGUCUUCCUCUGGGGACAGGCCUGAUGUUCCCAGAACCUCCUGCCAAAACUCGACCCAGGGAAGUCAGAUACCGGCUCAUUUCCCUCCCCAACCCCACUCCUGGACCAGCCACGUGGACUCUGGACAGUUUCUAGGCUGCAGAAAAGGGGGCUCAAGCCAGAUUGGGAAAGGACAUCUGGGACUGCACAGGGUCUCUCCAGCCAGAGAUGGCCCUGGACAAUUCCCAGCCAGGCUGAAUAUGAGGCUGGAGUGUGGGGAGACGCUGAAACCAGGACAGAAGCAGCUGGAUUCGGGCGAAUCCUGGGUCUGCUCAUCCACUCACUCAUCAAGCGUUGCCCGCCCUGGUGCCCAGCCCGGGGCGUGGUGCAGCACACCCAUGUGCCCACUGAUCCAUCGGUGCAGAGUGUCUGCUAUGUGCUAGGCACCCAGAACGCUUCCCUGACUACGUGACAUGCCUCUUCCCACCCCAGGGCCCUUGCUCUGUGCUUCUCUUCACUCAGACCUGUCCACCCUGCCGAGUUCUGGGCAUGGAACUUCUUCCACACAUUUGAAGAAGUUACCUCCGCAGAAAGGCCCUCCCUGCCCAGGGUGGCCUUCCCAUCUUGUUCUCUUGCUGGGGUGUUUCAGGUAUGCGCUUAAUACUUUGAAACGACUUUGUAAAUUCACCCCGUCUGUUUUGUCUCAAUUCCACC